AACAGGGGAGUCCAAAGGGGUCCGGGGCUGGGGAGGACCCGGGAGGGAGCGGGGCUGUGCAGGGAGAGCGGCCGGGGCUCCCAGUCUGUUCAGCCGGGAGAGAGGAGGCCGAGGGAGAAUCGCAGAGGGAUGAACAGAACCAUCAGUUCAGCCUGUGGCGCCAGGUGCUGACCGUCAUCCACCGCUUCCUGGAGAUGAAGACGGCCACUGACCGAGAUUUGUCAGAGCUGAAGGCAGAACAGAUGAGGAUUUUUGGGUCUGUAUUUGUGCACUGCUCCUGCCUGAACCGUGCUGUGCAGCUCUGGGAGCCCCUCGCUCUGGGGAGACACGUCCUGAAGGAAGAGGCCCAGCAGCAGGCAGGACAGGAAAGAAGCCAGAAGGCUCAGGAGCUGAUGAGCUUAGAAGUGAAGGAGGACCUGGAGGAGUAGGAGCUUCAAGACAGCCUGAAGGACGUAGGUGCGCUUGAAGGACAGUGUUCCUUAUUAUAGAGCGAGUUGGUAGCUGCGAGAGAAGCGCUGGGGGAGCUGCACCUAUGGAAGGAUCUGCUGUAUCAAGAGAAACACAAGCUGACCAUGGCCCUGGAGAAGGCGGAGCAGUUGGUGACAGAGCUGACAGACUCAGAAUAGGCUGAAUGGUGAGAUAGCUGAUCUACGUGCUGCAAAAGCCAACCUGAGCAGCAUCAAUGAAGCUCUUGCACUGGAUAAAGUGCAGCUGAACAAGCUUCUGGUGCAGCUGGAGGAAGAGAAUGAAGUUCUGUCGGAGAUGGUGGAUAAGAUGGAGAGAGGAAAGGAGAAGGUGCGCUUGUGUGAAAGAAAAAAUGAAGAGGUCUGUGCAGAGGAAGCCCACCUGGAGGAGCUGCUGAAGAACACAGAGGAGCAAGAGGAGGGACUGCAGGUAGGGCUGAUGGGAGUGGUAGAGAAGAAGGAAGAAAGCCAAGAGAAACUCCACUAUGUGAGUCCCAAAUCCUAGUGCUUCUGGGUGGGUGUUUGUCUGCUGGGCUCAGUGGAGCUGGGCUGUUGGGUUCAGCGUGGUUUGGUCAAGGGAGCAGCUGGUAGUGCUGGAGGGCAGAAGGCUUUGUUUGCUGCUUGUGGGAAAGGUGUCGAUGGUUUGCCUGGUUGUUGUGCAGUUCUCUGAGUUGUCCUCUGCUUCUACAGGUGCUUUGAAUGCAGCUGUCUGUGUUGGCCUCUGUUUUGGCUCUUGACAAGCAGCAGAGAGUUGAUUGUGUUGUCUGUGAGUCUGAGUGGGACUCCUGUCUCGCAUGGGGUAAAAGAAGCAAACUGGGUAGCUCUGAAUCCUUUUUCUGAGGCAAAGGACACAGUUGCAUUUUUCUAUUUGUGCUUUGUAUUGUGAGGUCUGAAACUUCCAAAACUCCCAGAAGGCCAACAGCCUCCUGGCUUAUUUCUGCCAUGGGGUGGCCAGCAGGUGCAUGGAAGGGAUUGUCCCGCUGGGCUCUGUGCUGGUGAGGCUGCACCUUGAGUCCUGGGUUCGGUUUUGGGCCCCUCACUCCAGGAAAGACAUUGUUUAGUGGUGGAGUUGGCAGUGUUGGGUUAAGGGCUAGAUUCAAUAGUCUUAAAGGUCUUUUCCGACCUGAACGAUUCUGUGGCUCUCUGAGCUGUUAAAGCCUCUACAGUCUUUGAGGAAGAAGAUGGGUAAAAAGGGCGUCAACCAUUUCAACCGAUUUUGGUGCCCUGCAAAAGAGCUUGGGCGUAUCAUGGCCCUGGAGGAGAGGAGGGAGUUUGUCACCAUGGAAAUGUCAGUUUCGCCAUGUACGGUCUUGAGUAUUAUGGGAUAGCUUUGAGAGGAUUGUUUGUUUCUGAUGGUCUGUUCUCUGCCAGAGAGGCUGAGUUUUGGAAGGCCUGGAGUGUUUGGCAAAUAGGCAGCAGAGGUUUGUGUUGAAGCACAAAAGUGAAAAGCCUUGGUUAAUCUUCAGGCUUGAAGGCCGGCGAGGUGUUCACCAGGUGGUGCCUCGGACCCCUUCUUUGUGUGAGAGAAGUGAACAGUGCUGUGACAUGAGGUGCUGAACCGAGUCUGCUGUCUCUUUGGCCACAGCAGCCAGGCUUCCACAAAUCCCUGAAUGCUGCUGCUCCCAGAGGGGCUGUUCCCUGCCAGGCAUCACCCCAUGGCAUCCAAUGCCUCGACACCGCAGGAGGGGACACUUGGAUCUUGGAUUUCCUAGCAGAGAAACCCUGUGUAUUUUCAGUUUCUUCAGUGGGCAAAGUUGCUUCUGCUGAGGCUUUCCUGAAAAUUUGCAGCCCUGGAAUAGAUUCUGAUGGGAUUUCAGUUGGUGAGGGGGCACGUGUGGAAAAGGUGGUGGUUUUUCCUGACAGCCCUUGCUUGGGGUGCGUGCGUUUGUGCUGGGGGAGCCUUCUGCUGGCACCCAGAAGGCCCUUCCCCACCCAUCUGGGUCAGCAGUGCCGGUGCCUUUUGGCAGCAUACUUUUUUGGUGUGCCUUUUUGGUGCAUACCUGGCGGAAUCUCUUCCCCUUCCAGCCCCAGCCCAGGAGCUCUUUCUCCUCCGGCAGGAUCAGCAGCGGCCCUGGCACAGAACUCCAGGGACAAGACUCUCACUGCCCGCUGUCCCCGC